UGGGGAAUAUUGGACAAUGGGCGCAAGCCUGAUCCAGCCAUGCCGCGUGUGUGAAGAAGGCCUUUUGGUUGUAAAGCACUUUAAGCGAGGAGGAGGCUCCUUUAGUUAAUACCUAAAGUGAGUGGACGUUACUCGCAGAAUAAGCACCGGCUAACUCUGUGCCAGCAGCCGCGGUAAUACAGAGGGUGCGAGCGUUAAUCGGAUUUACUGGGCGUAAAGCGUGCGUAGGCGGCUUUUUAAGUCGGAUGUGAAAUCCCUGAGCUUAACUUAGGAAUUGCAUUCGAUACUGGAAAGCUAGAGUAUGGGAGAGGAUGGUAGAAUUCCAGGUGUAGCGGUGAAAUGCGUAGAGAUCUGGAGGAAUACCGAUGGCGAAGGCAGCCAUCUG
rnacentral:rRNA from 1 species